AUUAACUGUUUUCUAGUAAUUUUUUAACUCAUCUGUUUUCGAUAGGCAAUACAUAAGUUGUUACAGGUUGGAGCACAAAACUUAAUAUAAAGUUUAUAUAAAAUUUUAGCCAUUAAUUUACCAAAACUAAAAUUCAGUUGGUUUAAUUAGAAUACCUAAUUUAAUGCUAAUGACAGAUUACACAGAUUAGUGUGCACUGGAAUUGCAUAAUUAAAUUCCUCCUGCACUAUACAAAUAUAGGACAACACAGUGUGGGCAGAGAUUCCAUCUGUACAUGGUCGAUUUCCACCAUGGGAUUUGGAAUUCUCUCCCUGUAUCUCUCUUGCCCCAUACAAACAACUUAGGAUUUUCAACAUAAGAGUGACUAAGCAUUAUUUGAGCUUGUGUGCACCACCUUAGGACUCAUCUUGCUUACCACCUAACAGAUUGAAGUCAAUCGCACAAAUUAUUACAUGUAAAACUAAAUACCUCAUUUAGUUACAUAUUCAGGGAAUAUGGAAAACUAUAUAAGUUUUGUACAAUUUUUAAAAGAGCUGACAUAGUAAUAAUCACUAUGUAGAAUAGAAUAGAAUAGAAUAGAAUAGAAUAGAAUAGAUUUAUUUUCAAAAUUGGAUACAAGGUAUCACUUAUUGACGUCACAUAACUUAAAUCUAAUUAUAACUACUACCGCUUCCAAAGCGCAUGUGUAGAAGAAGCGGCGGAACAAACUACACUGCAGCAUUUUCAUAGGACGUCAAUUUACAAAUAUAGAUCUCUUAAAUCUAAAGGAACGAAUUUGCCGCCGUAAGGUUUAGACGUGUUUUGUAUCGCUCCUUAAAAAAAUAAUUCUUCCACGGACAAACUUGUACAUAAAUUCUCGCAAACUAUACAUUAUUUGGAUAAAUAUCACGUGUGCUUUCACUCGAUAAACACAAAACAAUAAAAACAAUAGUGGACGUGAAUAUUUUGAAGUGCUAAUUGGUUAUUUACUCGACUCGAUAAGCCGCCGACAUCGUCCAGCGAGCUGCGCGUGAGUCAUCAUCGCACACAACAUAGCAGCGACUGCCCCGUACCACGUUCUCGUCGCGCGAGCCGGACUCCCCUGUACUACGCUGCCGCCCGGCGAGUGUCGCCGCAUCGACUGCCCGGUACCACGUUUUCGCCGUGCUAGCGAUACAACGGUCGCUUUUGAUCGAGGUUUGGUGGUAGAGGGAUACACAAUGUCUUCUACGGCAAAAAAUCAUCUAUGUGCUGGCUGUCGUCAGGUGAUAAGCGGCCGAUUUAUCUGCUGCUCUGUCACUUCUUGCAUACAAAUGUACGAUCUAACAUGUGCCAAAGCUGCCAGUCUCACGACUAAUGAAUUAAAAGUAUGGAUCUGCCCAGAAUGCCGUGCAACGAGGAGAAAAACUGGAGACACCUCAACACCACUCCGCCCAUCAACGUACGCGGUUCCCGAGUCUGAAAAUGUUACAAUGAGGAAGAAGUCCUCGCUUAAACCCCAGGACACCCAGGAUGUCUCAAUCACGGAAUCUAUUAAAAAACUGACUGAUGAAAUUCGGGGUAUGCGGUCAGAUAUGGAUGUGUUUCGUACAGAGGUAACCACUCGUUUUGAAGACUUUUCAGCUAACCUGCUAGAAAAAGGGAACAGGAUUGAGAUUUUAGAGGAAAAGCAGGAAAUUCUAGAACGAAGGAAUUUAGAUCUCGAAAUCACAGUUCAGUCGCUUCAAGAGCGUAUUGCUUUGAUGUCCCAACAAUCCCUCAGAAAUGAAGCUGAGAUCCUGGGAAUCCAUGAAGUUGCUGGUGAGGAGCCUUUACACUUGGCUUUAGUUACCGCUUCAAAGAUAGGGCUGGAUUUGGAGGCAAGCGACAUCGAUGAGGCCACCCGCGUUGGCCCCAAACGUAAGUCCACGAAUCAAGCUUCUGAAGAGAACCGCCUUCCUCGUCCCAUAGUGGUCCGCUUUACUACAAAGGCCAAGCGAGAUAACUUCAUAUCUGCUGCUAAAUCUAGAAGAACAGUGGAGAGCAAAGAUAUUGUUGAAAACGGACCUGUCCGCAAGAUUUACGUAAAUGAAAGACUGACAGCUGAGAAUCGGCAGUUGUUUCGUGCAGCGAGAGCACGAGCUCAGGAGAGCGGUUUUAAAUUCUGCUGGGUCAAAAAUGGUUCAAUUUACAUCAAAAAACACGAAAGAAGCUCGGCAUUACGAAUUACAUCUACAAACGACAUUAAUUGUUUGGGGGGGCCCGAGGCCGAUGUCGCGCGUGCAUCCAUGGGACCGUCAUACGCAGGACCCGUCAAUCACACUUAGGGGGGCACCGCUCAUGGGCCCUCUUCUGGUUAACAUACCUACAUUUAAUUUCGCCAUGUUAAGGCUUCUGUCGUUUUUAAUGUCGUUUAUAAUUAUAAUUUUAAUUCUACUUGUAACAGAUACGCCUAACGCUAAACUGUCUAACGCUAAAUUUCUCAAAUCUAAAUAUCCUUUUAAUGACGUCAAUUCCUGUCUCUACGAGUUAGUUAUAUUUCAAUGUAUGGCAGCAUUGAUCAAAACAAUACAAAAAUUAAUUUUUUGGAGCCGGUUACGGCCACCUUAGAGUUGCUUUCUGAAAUCGAUGAAUCUUUUAAUAUAUCAUGCCAUACUCUUGAUUUUCCUGAACAAUGUGAGAGACUGUUACCAACAAAUAGUAUCAAAGUACUGAAUAUAAAUAUAAGAAGUCUACAAAAAAACUUCAACGCAUUCCUAAUAGUAUUAGCGAGGCUUAACAUUAAUUUUGACGCAAUUGUAUUUGCAGAAUGCUGGCUUACUGAUAUAUCCGUAAUUCCCCAGAUAACCGGCUAUUUAUCGUUUCGUACAAGUAAGUUCAUUAAUAAGUGUGGUGGUGUAGUAAUGUACAUAAAGAGUUGUUGGUCGCCAGUUUUUACGGAAUUACCGCUUGAUGAAGCUAAUUGUGUGCUAGCUGACGUACCGAAUGUAUUCUCUAUUUUAGGUAUUGACGAGAAAGGUCCCCAGCUGUUCCACAUGGACCCCAGUGGUACGUUCGUGCAGUAUGAUGCCAAGGCCAUCGGUUCUGGUAGCGAGGGCGCUCAGCAGAGUUUGAAGGAAGUAUAUCACAAGUCCAUGACCUU